rnacentral:rRNA from 1 species
GAUGAACGCUAGCGGCAGGCUUAACACAUGCAAGUCGAGGGGCAGCGGGAGGAGUGCUUGCACUUCUUGCCGGCGACCGGCGCACGGGUGAGUAACACGUAUGCAACCUGCCUCCGUCAGGGGGACAACCCGGCGAAAGCCGGGCUAAUCCCGCGUAUAUUCCGUGAGGGCAUCCUUACGGAAGGAAAGGCUUCGGCCGGACGGGGAUGGGCAUGCGGCGCAUUAGGUAGUCGGGGGUGUAACGGACCACCGAGCCGACGAUGCGUAGGGGUUCUGAGAGGAAGGUCCCCCACACUGGUACUGAGACACGGACCAGACUCCUACGGGAGGCAGCAGUGAGGAAUAUUGGUCAAUGGUCGGAAGACUGAACCAGCCAAGCCGCGUGAAGGAAGAAGGUGCUCGGCAUCGUAAACUUCUUUGUCAGGGAACAAAGGGCGGUACGUGUACCGCUGUGAGUGUACCUGAAGAAAAAGCAUCGGCUAACUCCGUG